rnacentral:rRNA from 1 species
AGGAUGAACGCUAGCGGCAGGCCUAAUACAUGCAAGUCGAACGGUAAGUAUGAUAGCAAUAUUGUACCAAGAGUGACGUACGGGUGCGUAACACGUAUGCAACCUACCCUUUACAGGUGGAUAGCUCGGGGGAAACUCGAAUUAACCCGUCAUAAGAUAAUUUGGUGGCAUCAUUGAAUUAUUAAAACUGAGGUGGUAAAGGAUGGGCAUGCGUCUGAUUAGUUAGUUGGCGGGGUAACGGCCCACCAAGACGAUGAUCAGUAGGGGAACUGAGAGGUUGACUCCCCCACACUGGCACUGAGAGUACGGGCCAGACUCCGUACGGGAGCAGCAGUAGGGAAUAUGGUCAAUGGAUGGAAGUCUAGAACCAGCCAUGCCGCGUGCAGGAAGAACGGCCUUGUGGUUAGUAAACUGUCUUUGCCGAGGAUAAAAGU